GUGUCAGCAGCCGCGGUAAUACGUAGGGUGCAAGCGUUAAUCGGAAUUACUGGGCGUAAAGCGUACGCAGGCGGCUAUGCAAGACAGGUGUGAAAUCCCCGGGCUCAACCUGGGAACUGCACUUGUGACUGCAUGGCUAGAGUCCGUAAGAGGGGGGUGGAAUUCCACGUGUAGCAGUGAAAUGCGUAGAGAUGUGGAGGAACACCGAUGGCGAAGGCAGCCCCCUGGGAUGAGACUGACGCUCAUGUACGAAAGCGUGGGGAGCAAACAGGAUUAGAAACCCGAGUAGUCC
rnacentral:rRNA from 1 species